GUGUACUACAAAUCUUUGAAAAAAAAUAUAGGAAGACCAAACUAUGUUAACCUAUACAACAAUGCCAGACCAAACUUAGACCAACACAAAAUAUCUUUGAGUCAACUAGGACAACAUGACACAUUUGAGACACACUAACCACCACUCUCACGUGCACAAUAGAUUAAUAGUCAAUUGUUCAACAUUAUAGUCUAUGUAUGGGCUUCAACCUUCAGCCAAUUACAAGCUAGCACCUGUGAGAACAAUGGAGAAGGGGAUGGGAAGCCAUACCAGCCAAGGAAGAUGGUUUUCUGAUAUUAAAAGGAGAGAGAGCAGAGCAAGCCAUUGCCAAGACUUCACACAUCUCCAUUCUUCCCCAAAUAGCCAAACCUGCAGCUUGUCUUCCUCCCACUUUCUUCAUCUUUCUAUCUGCAACCAACAAAGAUCCAAGAACAAUAAGUAGAGAUGGUGACCUGAGAAAUCAUAGUAGAUCAAAGGAGGAAGGCUAGAGCAAGAAAUUAGCCUACUGGACUGGGAUCUGGAAGUAGGAGCAGCACUAGUAGGAACAGCAGAGAAGGCAAAAGAAGAAAGGAAGCAAACAAGACCCGGAGAAGGAAGCGCCACAGAAGCAAUUUGAGUUCGGGUCUGAGUACGAGAACUCAGAGCAAAGCUUGUAUGAGAAUCCUACUGGACCAAGUGAGGAGAGCAAUGGUGAUGGCUACAACUACACAGGGGACCUAGAUGUGGAUCCAUCUAGUGCUAUGUAUGAUCUGGAUGCCACAUAUGGGGGCUGGGAUGAACAAGUAACUUGUGAGCUAGCUAUGUAAUCCAGGAACUAUUUCAUCACUAUAUAUCUAGUACCGUUGUUGGAACUAGCGAACAUGUGAGAAGCCUACUUGAGACUUUUAGCCCCACGUGGCAUGAUAUUGUAAUAUAAGAGACCAUCUCUAGCUAUUUCCAUGUUGCAUAUCUCUAACAUGGAUUAUUAUUUG
rnacentral:rRNA from 1 species